UACGUAGGGUGCAAGCGUUAAUCGGAAUUACUGGGCGUAAAGCGUGCGCAGGCGGCUUUGCAAGACAGAUGUGAAAUCCCCGGGCUUAACCUGGGAACUGCAUUUGUGACUGCAAGGCUGGAGUACGGCAGAGGGGGAUGGAAAUCCGCGUGUAGCAGUGAAUGCGUAGAUAUGCGGAGGAACACCGAUGGCGAAGGCAAUCCCCUGGGCCUGUACUGACGCUCAUGCACGAAAGCGUGGGGAGCAAACAGG
rnacentral:rRNA from 1 species